GCGAGGGCCGCGGGGAGAGGCCUCUGCGAAUCGAUCUCGCUCUACUCACACUCAAUCCCGAGUCGAAAUGGAUUUUUUUAAUGCGUCUAUUAGCUGCUUUGAAAAUGCAAAUCGAGUUCAGGAGAGACAUCAGCCACCGUAAGAAAACAAGGUGACGGCCAAGACCUUGCGGUGGGGGGAAGGGAACACCCAGCGCAAGAUCUCCAGGUCUCUUCACCUCCCCGGCUCACAGCCUCAGGGUGUCCUCUCCAGCACCCUGCUCCCCACCUGUGGCCCUAGACCCAAGCGAUGCCUGCAGUAGGAAUACUCAUUGCUUCUCGCGGAGUCUGUGUCAGCCUGGUUCACUCCAGCCCACACAGGUGCUCAGUACUGACUUGUUGAAUGAAUAAAUGGAUGAUUGAAUAAAUGAAUGAAUGAAUGAGGACUGGCUCUGGGCCCAGGCAAGGCAGUCCUAAUAACUGAAAAUACAUUUCCGGAGUCUGGUUAUUCAAGUCAAAGUGACACCAUGUUGGGACAGCCACAGUUCAGUCUAACUGCGCAUUUAGGGAAAAGCAUUUCCUUAAUGCUUCGAGGACACAGCCGGGACAGAGACGCUCCCAAUUUGCAUGACUAAACAUCCCCCGGGCAAACUGCAGCAUCUGCACUGCGAUUUGUGGUGACUUUUCAGUUGCCUCCUCUGCAAACAAAUGGGGGUGGGCUCUGGCUUGCUUGUGUGUAAAGGGCCCCACCUGGAGUGAAGAAAAAGCAAACAGAAUCUGUCCCAAAGUAGUUCGUUCUGCACCUCCAGAAACAAACUUUCAGCAACCCAGCUGGCCUCUCUCCAUAAAACAAAGCAAGGUCUCUGUCCUCCUAAUGGUGCCUAGGAUUUCAGGCAUUUGCUCCAUUUAUUCAUUCAUUUAACAAAUAUUUCUAGGACAUC